rnacentral:rRNA from 1 species
UACGUAGGGACCGAGCGUUGUCCGGAAUCAUUGGGCGUAAAGAGCGUGUAGGCGGCUUGCUAAGUCUUGCGUGAAAUCUCGGGGCUCAACCCCGAGCGGUCGUGGGAAACUGGCAGGCUAGAGUGCGGGAGAGGAGAAUGGAAUUCCUGGUGUAGCGGUGGAAUGCGCAGAUAUCAGGAAGAACACCCGUGGCGAAGGCGGCUCUCUGGAACGCAACUGACGCUGAGACGCGAAAGCGUGGGGAGCAAACAGG